rnacentral:rRNA from 1 species
AACGCUAGCUACAGGCUUAACACAUGCAAGUCGAGGGGCAGCGGGAUUGAAGCUUGCUUCAAUUGCCGGCGACCGGCGCACGGGUGAGUAACGCGUAUCCAACCUUCCGUACACUCAGGGAUAGCCUUUCGAAAGAAAGAUUAAUACCUGAUAGUAUGAUGAGAUUGCAUGGUAUCAUCAUUAAAGAUUUAUCGGUGUACGAUGGGGAUGCGUUCCAUUAGGUAGUAGGCGGGGUAACGGCCCACCUAGCCAACGAUGGAUAGGGGUUCUGAGAGGAAGGUCCCCCACAUUGGAACUGAGACACGGUCCAAACUCCUACGGGAGGCAGCAGUGAGGAAUAUUGGUCAAUGGACGAGAGUCUGAACCAGCCAAGUAGCGUGAAGGAUGAAGGUCCUACGGAUUGUAAACUUCUUUUAUAAGGGAAUAAACCCUCCCACGUGUGGGAGCUUGUAUGUACCUUAUGAAUAAGCAUCGGCUAACUCCGUGCCAGCAGCCGCGGUAAUACGGAGGAUGCGAGCGUUAUCCGGAUUUAUUGGGUUUAAAGGGAGCGCAGACGGGUCGUUAAGUCAGCUGUGAAAGUUUGGGGCUCAACCUUAAAAUUGCAGUUGAUACUGGCGUCCUUGAGUGCGGUUGAGGUGUGCGGAAUUCGUGGUGUAGCGGUGAAAUGCUUAGAUAUCACGAAGAACUCCGAUUG